GUGGAUAUAGCUCAGUUGGUCAGAGUGCCAGGUUGUGGCCCUGGAGGUCGUGGGUUCGAGCCCCACUAUCCACCCCA
rnacentral:tRNA from 1 species